AUAAUAUAUAUAAAUAAUCCGUUUUUCUAGGUAUUUCAUUUUUUAUAUGUUUCUUAACAUUUUUAUAAGAUAUAGAAAAAUUUAUAUGUAAUAAUAAAAUUUUUAUCAAAUAUUAUUCUAUAUUUAUUCUUAUAAUUUCUUUUGAAUUUUAAAAUAUUUAGAUUUAUUCUUUUAUAACACUACAAUAAAUCUUAGAUAUAAAUAAAUGUAUAUAUAUAUAUAUAAUAAUAAUAAAUAUAUAUUAUAAUUUAUUUAUAUUUUAAAUAUUUUACGGAUACAUUAAUGAAUUUUUUUCUUUUUCUUAAAUUAUAUAAAUUUUACAUGUUUAAAAAAAUAUAACUAUUUAAUAAAUAAACAUAUAAAAGUAUAUAUAUAUAUAUAUAUAUAUAUACAUAUUUGUUUUUUUUUUUUAAACAACUGAUAUAAUAUUAUUGCUCACAUUUUUAUCCAUUUUACUAAUUAAAUAUUACAAAAAUUAUAUACUUUAAAAAAAAACACAAUAUAUAUUUUUUUAUUCUUAAAUUAUAUAAAUAUGUCAAAAAAAAGUAAUAAUACAGAAGAUAACAACAACAGUAAAAAAAGCCAACCUACAAUUAAAUGCAUAACAAAAUGUGGUACUCAUACAAGUAACUCAAAUAUAAAGAAAGAAAAGAAAAAAAAAAGAUUCAAUAUCUUUUCCGCUAUUGCUAAAAAAUUUUUUUUUAGUGUUAUUGUAUAACAAUGUGCUUCUAACUAUUAAUAAUGUAAGAUAAAAUAAAAAAAAAAAAAAAAAAAAAAUUUUUUCUUUUGUUUUUCUCAAUAAUAUCGACAUAUAUAAAUUCAUAAUAUUUAAACUUAAUUAUUUUAUAAAUAUAUAUAUAUAUAUGUACACAUCAUAUAUUUCUUAUAUUUUUUUUUUUCCUUCCUUUUUUCAAAUAAUACUUUUUUAUAGAACAACACCUUAUACAUUUAAGUAUGUAAAAAAAUGUCUUAAAAUUUUAAAUGCCUUAUUAAAUUAAAAUUUUAUAAUACACUCAACAGGAAAAUAAAGAGAAAUGUGAAUAUAUAAAUAAAUAAAUCAUAAUAUAUAUUAAAUAAUUUUAAUUUGAACAUCUAAAUUCAGAAUAUGAAAAUAUAUAUAUAUAUAUAUAUAUAUAAUAAUAAUAAUAAUAAUAAUAAAUAAUACAAAAUAAUUAAAUCUGAAAUAACAAAAUGAAUAAAUAGAUAAUAUCAAAAUAUAAAGACAAGCACAAAUAAUAAAAGAGCUUAACCCUAAUUACUAUAAUGGUUACAAUUGACUUAAGGAGAAAUAUCUCAAAUAAAUAGAAUAUAGAAAAAAAUAAAUAAUAUAUAUUUACAUAUGUUAAAAAUAAAAUCUAAAUUAUAUACUAUAAGGAUAAGUUGAUUUGGAUAAAUAUAAAUAUUUAUAUAUUUUAUAAUGAAACUUAUAAGUAAUUUUUAGGUACAUUUUCAUAUAUAUAUAUAUAUAUAUAUAUAUAUAUAUAUUUUAUUUGUAUUAAUUAUAGCUUUUCCUAAAAUAAUACAAAAAACAACUUGUUAUUUUUUUUUUAAACCUCCAUUUAUGGGAAGAUUCUUUCUUUCCGUUUAUCUUAUUUUAUUUAUUUAUAUUUCUUUUUUUCUUUUUUAAUUACAACUUGAAUUUAAAAUUUUCAUAACUU